rnacentral:lncRNA from 1 species
AUGACAGACCAAUAGUAAGUAUUAUCCACUGCAUUUGCUGAAAUGUAGCUGAAAUAAAACCAUAGUCCAAAUAGCUCACCACAUAUCCUUCUUCUUAUCCUUAUUCAACAUAAUGUCAAUCCUCUGCUGUUUUGAAUUCUUGCUGAAAAAGUAUGUGGAUCUAAAUUAUGAAUGAUGGUUCCUACUGAAAUAUGUCUAGAGGACCUCUUCCUACUGCCAAAAGCCCCCAGCAUCGAUGAAAUACUAUGCCUACCUCUACUGACUGGCUCCUUGAUAGAGGUGGUCCUCUUGAACUUGGACUCUCCUCCAGCGAUUGCAGAGUUGGACCUUGAUUCAUAGAAUGACGGUCUAAAUCGCUCUCUAUAUCUAGCCAUCUCCUUCAAUUGGUAUUGAUCAUUCAGACUUGUUUGAAUGGCAGUCUCAAUCUGUACCUCCUCGUUAUUUGGAGCAGAGGCCUCUUCUGACUCUUUGGAAUGAUAGGAAUGUAGCUCUCCAUCUCGAUGGUCUAUUUCUGUCCUCUUCUGCUUCGCCCUCUGAUGCACUCUUAUCGUGAGAGCGAUCAAAGAUAAAUUAUUUCUUAACCCAAUACUACUAUGUAGAGUAGCGGGAAUAAGGGUCGAUACAUAGGAGAUCUUAGGUAGUUGUUUCAAAAAGAAAGAAAAAAAUUUCUAAAACUUUUGGUUGACAGAUGCUCAAAACUAGUAAACAAAGGAAAUUAACUUUAAAAGUGAUCAAGCCUUAGAUACCUCGGGGAUUACNNNNNNNNNNNNNNNNNNNNCUGACUGUGGGCGGCCCACUACCAGGCGGUUACACACGUCGCCAUCAGUCCGUUGCCUCCCCCGCCUAUAAAAGGGAGGACUCAGAUACGUUAUUUUUUAAGCUCUUUUGCCUUAUCUCAAAACUCUGCUAAAUUCUCCGUUCGAGCACUCCAUUCUUGUUGAGGCAGAGAACUGACUUGAGCGUCGGAGGGUCUUGCCGGAGCAACCCCACCUCCGGUUUAGACUUCCCUUGCAGGUCCCGACAGCGACCGCGGCUUCCUCAACUCCAGCUUCUCCGGCGCAGACGGAUUUUUGCACCAACAAUAUCAAUCCUCUGCUGUUUGAAUUUUUGCUGAAAAAAGUAUGUGGAUCCAAAUUAUGAAUGAUGGUUCCUACUGAAAUAUGUCUAGAGGACCUCUUCCUACUGCCAAAAACCCCC